rnacentral:lncRNA from 1 species
UCUUGUCACGGGUGGCAUCUUAAACUCGAACAACGGUCCUACUUAUGACCUUUGCAUGACAUUAAUAAGGAAAUGGAUUAUUGGGAACAAGAGUUCAUAUAGCUCCCUGUCUAUGACUUAUGCUCCCAUAAGAUCUAUAAGAAGAAACAGAACGAAUCUAAACAACUCCAAAUUCUAUAUGCAGAUGCAUGUAUUCUAUUCUAUCAAACCUAACUUAACUUAACUUAACUUAGGCUACACUGACACUGUGGUUUUUAAAACAACUUUAAAACAACUUUAAACCCAAAAGCUCUAAUCUUUAAAACCAAAAGUUCUGAUCUUUAAAACCAAAAGCUCUGAUACCAAUGUAAUUUUCACGACCCGAUAUUCCCCUCGAGCCCCGUGACAACCGCCGUGACGUCCCAAUAGACAUUCAUCGCUCAGAAUGCCAACCGGAAUCUUGCAAGGCUUUAAUAUUAGUUUUCGCACCUCCCCUGUAAGCAACAGUUGUUAAGUAUCAUGUUUUGAGAGAUUAUAAACUAUUUUCAAAUCAAAACAAUAGAAAAAUAAUUUUUUUCUCACAAGGGCAUUUUGGUCAUUUUUUCUCAAAAUUCUCGAAACCAGCUAAAAAUGUAGUAUGCGAGUGGAAAACACAUAUUUCAUAAUCAAAAAUAAGUUUAGAUAUCUAAAACAUUCAUUUAAAAUGAAAUUAUGACUAUUUGAAUAUAAUUAAAAUAUUCUAUUUUCUUAUAAAAUAAUAUUUAUAGAGUUAUCGGUAAAUAAUUUUUGUAGCGUAAAAGCUAAAUAAAUUCAUACAUACUGUAAUACAGAUAACCAAAGCAUAAGAUUUAAUUUACAGUGACAUGUGGGCCCAUGAACGACCAAAAGUAUCAAAAGCGAUAAACCUACAGUUUUUGAGGAUGCAAGUCCAACUGUAGCCCUAAACAAAGUGAGCUAUCUACUGACUAUCCUAAGCCUAAAAGGGGUGAAAAUGAAGGUGGUGAGAUUAUAUAAUCCCAGUCAGUAAACAAAUAUCAUCCAAAAUAUCUAAAAUUGAGUAAAUGGAGACCGAUAAAAUAGUUUAACAUACUAUAAUUCAUCACCUUUCAACACAUUUCAACCAAAUAAAAUCAAUUCAUAUAAAUCGAGUAAUCAACAUGGCUUAUGAAUUUCUUAAAACUUUGGCUCGUGCCAAAAUCAUUCUCAUACUCAGUUAUCAGGGAUACCUUGGCCGAGGUUUAUCCCAACCGAGACCGCCAAGGUGUUUAAAAAGUUAUGUACGCAUAAAUCAUGUUUUUAUUUUGAAAGCAUAGCCGUUCCUUCGAGUUGGCUGAGUUCACCCUCACGUGGUAGUUUGACGUGAAGUGUACUCUAAAGUUUUAACCUUAGGAGUUAUCCAACUGCGCCUCUCAUAUUGAGGUAUGAAUAUAAUAGGGUUACCGUGCCCUUCUAAUAGGCUGGUCCACGGAACUCAUCCACUGCAGCGACCAAUAUAUAACCCACCAAUUCAACAAAAUUCAACAGCAUGACAUGGCAAUUAUUUUAUUUUACAGCCUCUCAAGGUAAAUUAACAGUUCAUACAUUUUCAACACAAAUACCAAUUUAGCCAUUCAUGCAAUUAUUAUCAUAAGCCAUUCAAUUCAAACCAUGAUUUAUAACACAACAAUUAGUCUCCAAUUACUCCAUUUUCAAAACCAUCUUUCAAUUUCAAGACAAUUUGAUAAAAUCAUUUUCAUUUAAUCACAUUUUGCUUAUAACACAUAAAGAUUUACCAUUUAAACUCAUUUUCCAUAAAAUCACAAAAUCGGAUAAAAACCAUUUUAGAUAAUUAAGAUGAUAGUAAGGUUACUCACAAUUUCAGGAGUCGAAUUUCGAGUACUCCGAUUCUUGAUCCUCGGAUACUAUCUCUUUACUUUUGCCAGAAAGCUCACCACCUAGACAUAAUGCACAAUAAGCCAUUUACUACAUUUGUGCUAAAUUGUUAUAAAACCAAUUCAGGUUCUAUACUAAUGCAUGAAAUGGAAUGCAAAUUGUUCGAAUUAUAGUCUAAAUACGGUGUUCUACACAAAUUCAAUUGUGUACCUAAAUAAAAUGGUAUUGGCCUAAUUCGAUCUAUCACUCGAUUAACUGGUCAAUAUGUCCAAUUUAACUCCAAAUAAUUCCAUUUUUCUCCCAAAACUCCAAAUCAUCAAACACAAAUUAAAUAACUUGAAAUAUGGCAAAAUCAUCCUCACAUUUUCUCUUGGAAAAUUUGGCCAUGGUGGGUGCAUCAACAUUAUAAUUUUUCAAGCUUGAUUCUCACACCAUAAAUCACUAAUUCCUAACCAAAUCACUUGAAAUAAAAUCAAAAUCAUCAUCAAUAUUCUACAUGGAGAAUUCGGCCAAUGAUGGGUGAUGAAAGAAUAUGAAUUUUUCUUGCUUGAUUUUCAUGUUACACAUCACUAACUAACUAAAAGCACAAAAAUAUAUUGAAAUCUAAUCAAAUCCAAGUUCAAAACUCCUCCUCCCAUGUCCAGCCAACAAGGGUUUCCUCAUGAAAACUUGAUUCUCAACCAUGGAAAAUGAAAAAUAAUGCAUAGGAAAGGUAGAUCACAAGUUAGAAUUGAAAAAUCUUACCUUUUUUCACUUGUUUCCUUGAAUUUUCACACUUUUCCCUAGAAUUCUUCCACCUAGGGUUUUUGUUCUUCUUUUCUUCC